UACGAAGGGUGCAAGCGUUACUCGGAAUUACUGGGCGUAAAGCGUGCGUAGGUGGUUUGUUAAGUCUGUUGUGAAAGCCCGGGGCUCAACCUCGGAAUUGCCUUCAAAACUGAUAACCUGGAGUAUGGAAGAGGUAAGUGGAACUCCGAGUGUAGAGGUGAAAUUCGUAGAUAUUCGGAAGAACACCAGUGGCGAAGGCGACUUACUGGUCCAUUACUGACGCUGAGGCUCGAAAGCGUGGGGAGCAAACAGG
rnacentral:rRNA from 1 species